UUGAUGACCAAAAAGUCUGAACACUUUUGCAUUUCCCAUAAGGAAGCCUAUACUAAAAGGGCAGUCUAAACCUAAAGCAUUAUAUCAGAAAAGUGUUGACGUUCCAAAUAAACCGGUUGUUUCAUAUUUUGACUUCAGUAAACAAGACUUUGAAGGUCAGUUUAAGUCUCACCUUAACUCUGAUGGUUUCAAACUUCCAAGUACUCUCCGCUCUUCUGCCUCUGCUGCAAGGAAGCGUCUCCUUAAAGCAUUAAAUACUAUUCCGUGAAAGCCUGUUACACAUCUGCACUUGAGAGAAAAAAUACUAGUGGUAAGCAGCAUGAAGAUAUUCAUGGAUGCAAUGAGGCAAACUUCGAUAGGAACCAAUGUGUGGGAAGCCAUCUGAGUGGAUGGUACUUAUAUAGAACAGUUGUGUGGAAGGCCGCUGAAGAACAGAGUACGACCAGAUCAUGAAAGUCCUUCAAAGACAGCAGAACUCGUCACUCUUUGGAACAGCUUGAACCUUAAGAUCACCCUGAUGUUGCUGAUGUACCAGCUUGCUUUGACUAGAUAAGAUGCUUCCAGUACCUUCUGGCAUGGUGUAAAGGCAAUUAAACGACAUUUGUGCUAUGUGUGUCUGAAAUGAGUGGUUCU
rnacentral:sRNA from 1 species